GACGGGGACCCGCACAAGCGGUGGAGCAUGUGGUUUAAUUCGAUGCAACGCGAAAAACCUUACCACUUUUUGACAUGAAGGUCGUAUCCCUCCUAACAGGGGGAGUCAGUUCGGCUGGACCUUACACAGGUGCUGCAUGGCUGUCGUCAGCUCGUGUCGUGAGAUGUUGGGUUAAGUCCCGCAACGAGCGCAACCCUCAUUCUUAGUUACCAACAGGUAAUGCUGGGCACUCUAAGGAAACUGCCAGUGAUAAACUGGAGGAAGGUGGGGAUGAUGUCAAGUCAGCACGGCCCUUAUAGGGUGGGCUACACACGUGCUACAAUGGCAACUACA
rnacentral:rRNA from 1 species